rnacentral:rRNA from 1 species
AGGACGAACGCUGGCGGCGUGCUUAACACAUGCAAGUCGAGCGGAAAGGCCCUUCGGGGUACUCGAGCGGCGAACGGGUGAGUAACACGUGAGUAACCUGCCCCUAGCUCUGGGAUAGCUCCGGGAAACCGGGAUUAAAUACCAGAUACGACCACUUUAGACAUCUUUGUGGUGGAAGAAUUUCGGCUAGGGAUGAGCUCGCGGCCUAUCAGCUUGUUGGUGGGUAACGCCUACAAGGCGACGACGGGUA